rnacentral:rRNA from 1 species
GACGAACGCUGGCGGCGUGCCUAAUACAUGCAAGUAGAACGCUGAAGGAGGAGCUUGCUCUUCUGGAUGAGUUGCGAACGGGUGAGUAACGCGUAGGUAACCUGCCUGGUAGCGGGGGAUAACUAUUGGAAACGAUAGCUAAUACCGCAUAACAGUAGAUGAUGCAUGACAUUUACUUAAAAGGUGCAAUUGCAUCACUACCAGAUGGACCUGCGUUGUAUUAGCUAGUUGGUGGGGUAACGGCUCACCAAGGCGACGAUACAUAGCCGACCUGAGAGGGUGAUCGGCCACACUGGGGCUGAGACACGGCCCAGACUCCUACGGGAGGCAGCAGUAGGGAAUCUUCGGCAAUGGACGGAAGUCUGACCGAGCAACGCCGCGUGAGUGAAGAAGGUUUUCGGAUCGUAAAGCUCUGUUGUAAGAGAAGAACGAGUGUGAGAGUGGAAAGUUCACACUGUGACGGUAUCUGACCAGAAAGGGACGGCUAACUACGUG